GUACACAAAAAUGCACAUAUUGUGAGCUCGAUGAGUAGGGCGGGACACGUGGUAUCCUGUCUGAAUAUGGGGGGACCAUCCUCCAAGGCUAAAUACUCCUGACUGACCGAUAGUGAACCAGUACCGUGAGGGAAAGGCGAAAAGAACCCCGGCGAGGGGAGUGAAAAAGAACCUGAAACCGUGUACGUACAAGCAGUGGGAGCCUCUUAAUGGGGUGACUGCGUACCUUUUGUAUAAUGGGUCAGCGACUUAUAUUCUGUAGCAAGGUUAACCGAAUAGGGGAGCCGAAGGGAAACCGAGUCUUAACUGGGCGUUAAGUUGCAGGGUAUAGACCCGAAACCCGGUGAUCUAGCCAUGGGCAGGUUGAAGGUUGGGUAACACUAACUGGAGGACCGAACCGACUAAUGUUGAAAAAUUAGCGGAUGACUUGUGGCUGGGGGUGAAAGGCCAAUCAAACCGGGAGAUAGCUGGUUCUCCCCGAAAGCUAUUUAGGUAGCGCCUCGUGAAUUCAUCUCCGGGGGUAGAGCACUGUUUCGGCAAGGGGGUCAUCCCGACUUACCAACCCGAUGCAAACUGCGAAUACCGGAGAAUGUUAUCACGGGAGACACACGGCGGGUGCUAACGUCCGUCGUGAAGAGGGAAACAACCCAGACCGCCAGCUAAGGUCCCAAAGUCAUGGUUAAGUGGGAAACGAUGUGGGA
rnacentral:rRNA from 1 species